AAGCGAAUAGUCAUUCAGCUCAUCAAGAAAUUACCCGCCUUUUAUGAAAUCCGAAGAUUCAUUAGUAUGUUCAUACGAACCCACCACUGGUCCGAGUCCUGAGUCGGAUAAAUCCAGUGCCUUUAGCCUCUACUCGUGAAUUGAAAUCCGUCAUCACACAAAAUCCUGCUCUUCGCCGAACUCGAAUCGCCUUCCCUAGACUCUCGUUCAGUCUGCUGGGAUCAGUCGUCGCCGCAGCAUGUCGAAGGAGCGUGGUACUUGGUCCAGCCAUCUGGAGUUCGUCUUGUCGUGCGUCAACUACGCCGUCGGGCUGGGAAACGUCUGGAGAUUCCCGUACCUUGUAUUCAAGAACGGCGGUGGAGCUUUCUUGGUGCCAUAUAUCAUCAUGCUGUUCGCCAUGGGACUUCCCAUAUUCUUCUUGGAACUCGUCAUCGGACAAUACUCGGGCCUGGGACCCAAUAAGGCCUUCCAGAGGAUGGCACCUAUCUUCCAUGGGCUCGGCUAUUGCACUCUGAUUGUGAUUGCACUUAUCACCAUCUAUUAUCAAGUUAUUAUUGCCUGGACUAUCUUUUACAUCUUUGCUUCAUUCAGUAGUCAACUUGGUUGGAGCUCUUGCGGACAUGACUUCAAUACUGACGAUUGUUACUCUGAAGCAGCCAAUGCAGAAUGUUUGAGUAAGUCAGAGAAUGAGUCAUGGCCACUCACAUUUAUACAACGUACUUGCCGUCCAGUAGGAGAAAUUUGUGCAGAGUAUAACCAAACUAUGCAUAACCGCACACACUGUUUCAAUGGCACUUAUAACCAUCUUAAUGCUAUCGUUCAGAGAGUGUUGUCUUCUGAAGAGUACUAUAGAGACUAUGCACUGGGUAUCAAUGGAGCAACCUGGGAAUCGUGGGGCAUACUCCGCUGGGAGAUGGUCCUGUGUCUGCUGAUGUCAUGGAUUAUCUUGUAUCUGUGUCUCAUGAAAGGUGUCCAGUCCUCUGGGAAAGUCACAUACUUCACUGCUAUCUUCCCUUAUUGUGUACUGCUGGCUCUGCUCAUCAGAGGAGUAACAUUAGAUGGGGCCUAUGAAGGCAUCAUAUUUUACAUCACUCCCUCAUGGGAGUCACUGACCAAUGCACAGGUAUGGGGUGAUGCAGCUUCACAAACAUUCUAUGCUCUUGGCAUAGGAUGUGGCUCACUGGUUACUCUUUCCAGCUACAGUCGAUUCAACAACAAUUGUCACCGGGAUGCAUUUGUAGUGGCAAUAACAAACUUGCUGACAGCCACACUUGCUGGUUUUGUGGUGUUUGCUAUUCUGGGCUUCCUUGCCAAGGAAAGUGGUGUGUCUGUGAAGGAUGUUGUCUCAUCUGGGCCUGGCCUUGCUUUCAUCACCUAUCCAGAAGCUGUGUUGCGUAUGCCUCUGCCCCAGCUUUGGGCUGUUCUGUUCUUUAUCAUGCUGUUCACUCUUGGCACUGGGAGCCAGUUUGCAGGAGUUGAAGCAAUCAAUACAGCAAUCAUUGACCAGUGGCCAUCACUGUGCAGUCACAAACAGUGGGUGGCAGCAAGCACAUGUGCAGCUUGCUUUGUAUUUGCUCUUCCCAUGUGCUGCAGUGGGGGUGUGUACCUCUUCACAGUCAUGGACUGGAACACUGCAUCCUGGGCCAUCCUCAUCAUUGGGUUCGCUGAAGUGGCCCUUGUUGCUUGGGUUUAUGGUUACAGUCAUUUCCUUGAUAAUGUAGGUGAAAUGAACAUACAUCUGUCCAAGUUCACAAGAGGCUAUUGGAGCAUUUCCUGGGCAGUGUUAGCCCCAGUCUUCCUCCUUGGUGUCUUGAUAUUGACUCUCAACAACUUCACACCUGCUUCUUAUGAUGAAUACAUAUUCCCAGAAUGGGUUGAUGGCCUUGGUUGGCUUAUUGGCGCUGUAUCUAUUUUGCCUCUGCCAACAUUUGCCUUAUACCGGCUAUUCAGAGCCAAGGAGGUUGGAUGGGAACUACUGCAACCAAGUAAGGUCUGGGGACCAGCACCGUUAAUGACAUUGGAAGUGCCUUCCUUUGUGGUCUGUGAGAACAGUGAAAAACCUUAUAAUGCAUAUGAGAAAAGUGAUAAACCUUAUAGUGAAUAUGAGAACUUUGAAAACUCUGCAGGAACUAGAAGUGAAGCUGUGAAGACUGAGCCAGAGCUGGCUGACAUUCAGCAGUCAGAUGUUAGUGCAUAUGCAAAUCUUACCUUCCACUGUGAGAGUGGCAAGCGCCCAUUUCCAUGUGAAAACCAAACAAGUAGCUGAUGUUCUCAUGUGUAUUCUAAUAUAAACUAUUUGCUUAGCUGAAGUAAGGUUAUUCUACCACUUAUGGAACUGACUGCAUUGAUGGGAUACAGCCACAUGCAAGUACAAGAGCUGAGUUUCAUAUAUAUUUUUUUUUCUGGUGAUAUAUGUGCAGCAGUUGUUACAUAAGUGACAUUUGGAGUUUGCACAGUUGUGACAAUGAAGAUUAGGGUAGUCUGAAGAUGGAGGUAGUAGGUUCUUCCCAAAUGUUGGUAGUGCUCUGUCACACUGCAUGGUAACACAUCCCAAGAGAGGGUGAUCUUCACAUCUGACAUGUUUUAUAAUGUCCACCAUCUUGAUUCCUUUUAUCUUCUGCUUCAAACCACCAUCAAUACAACUCAGGAAAAGUAAAAUUAAUUUUUUCUUUAUAUUUUGUAGGAACACCAAGUAGGAUAGUCUAGUGAUAAAGCACUUUCUCUGUACUAAAAAAAAAUGUUCACCAAUAGGAUAGUCUAGUGAUAAAGCACUUGCCCUGUAUUAAAAAAAAACUAGUUCACCAAUAGGAUAGUCUAGUGAUAAAGCACUUGCCCUGUACUAAAAAAAACUAGUUCACCAAUAGGAUAGUCUAGUGAUAAAGCACUUGCCCUGUACUAAAAAAAUAACUAGUUCAGAUCCUGCCUAGGUUAAUGGCUAUUGUGACAAGGCUUACAUGAUAUUCCACUGCAUCUCAAGUAGCAUAAAAUAAGUCAUCACUGUCUCCUUCCAAAUUCUUAAAUAUUCACCAUUGAGAACCAUCUACCUAUCAUAUCUCACAGGUAAAGCAGCACAAUUAAAUAACUUGAGAAUCAACCAUUUUGAGUAUAGAAAAAGAUAAAUUAUGAAAAGAAAAUAUUUACCAGUACAGAGGCACUAUAAGGAUAAAUGUUAUUUAUUGUACACUGUAGAUAGUUUUGAUAAGAAUUUGAAGUUAUUGUUUGGAAUUUUAUUUAUAUUGAUGGAACUUAUUAAAUUAAUCUGAGGACUUUUGGCAACUGGAGAUGGCCCCUUCCCAAGUAUCUGCCAGUCAAAACAGUGCAAUACAGCGCAAUACUCUCUGAGUUCAAGAAACUGUACUAAAUUCUUUUAUGUUCACUGCACAACAAUUCAUAAUGUAUAUGCAUCUUACAAAAAGAAAUUAAAUAAACAGAAUGACUUAUUAAAAUAUUGCAUUGUUCUUAUGGAACCUAACUUUUGUAAUUUAAUGUCAUAUUGUGACAGCUGUUGACAAGAGAAGGGGAGGCAUUUACAUAAACAAGUAUAUAAAAUCUCCUUGCUUUUAACACACUAGACUCUGAACACACACUUAUACUUUUCCCCUGUUUUAGGACCAAUCCUGAAUAUACUCAUACCAAGUGGACCUAGCCCAAAUAUACUUACUUCAAUUCUUUUUCCCCCCAUCUCAGCACUGAAUACACUUGUGUCCUAUGGUCCUUGGACAUUUGAAUACAAGUACUAGCACCUAUACUAGGCAUGUAAGUUCAGGACACAAGAAACAAAAUUUGUCUAAAUAAAGCUGAGAGAAUAAUAAAAGUAAAUCUUGAAAUAAUGAUCAAAAUAAUCUAGUCUGUAAAGUAUGUUGGUGGAUGGAAAAUAUGUAAAUAUAUAAAGAUGCAGCAUUGUAAUGAUUGUGGAAAUGUGACUGAAAUAGCCCUAUCAUAGAUUAUGAAUCUUUUAUGUAUACGAAAUAUUAGACAGUAUAACAGGAGUUUGUAUUUAAAUAUUUUUAAGGAAAUUUUAAUUUUGUUUUUUAUUCAUAGUGCUGACAAUACUAGGUGUAAGAUAAAUUAGUAAAAGACUUGAAAUCAGCGUGAAAUGCAAUUUUCUGGAAGGAAAUCAGGUUGGCAAUUGACCUAUCAAGAUGAUGCCCCUUCUUGUAUUAGCAGUAUGUAUCAGUGAAUUUAUUUGGAAAUGCUCCUGUUUAUUCGCAAUAAACUUCACUGAGGAAAAUAUAUAUAUAUUUACACGGAAGAAGCAAUUUCUAGUCACUUGAAUGUAAUUUGAUAUGAAAUGUUAGAUUUGGUACCAACCAUAAUUCUAAUGGUUGUCUUUUAAAAAGAAAAAUUUAUUUUACAAUUGAGUGAACUAUCUUCAGAAAUUACUCCAUACUUCAUAAUCAAGUGAAAAUAAGCAAACUAAAUUGUUUUAAAAGUGUAUCAGUAUGUCAUAUCAAACCAUAGGACUCUGACACUAUCCUUGGGGACAUAAUGCCCUGGUGUCUCAUAGAUCUUUAUAGAUCAUAAGUACCACAGAACAAUGAAUAACUAUGAUAUUGCACAUCACUAUAACUACAACGAUAACUAUAUAUGAUUUAAUACUUUCACGGUGACAUUAUACAAUGAAGUCUUUUUGGGCAAUCAACCAUAGCAAUAUGGAAGUUGUGUCCAACAUUUGAGUGACAGACUUUGUCUCUCUCAUCAGUUGUUUAUGUGAUGCAUGUUGUGUUCACACACAGUAUUUAUAAACAAAGCUGUUGUGGGCAGACUUAGAUCAUCAGUGACGCCCUGUCCUGACUUGAGCUGUAUGGGAUACAGUUGAAUGGUCAUCUGGAUUCUUACUGCUUGUUGUUGGUUCUUCCUCAUGAAGUUUCUUUUAUGUUCUGUCAUGUGUUUUAUUGUAUUCAUCCCUUAGUACCUCGAACGUCCUAGAGAGAAUCCCCUGUCAGCCCCUGACUGAUGGAAACAUAGAAAGUUUCUCUGAAACGCGGGGCAUAAACUCCACAUUGACAAAUCUCUACGCCCGAUGAGGCUUCAUUGUACAGUGCACGUUUCAAAUAUUUUCGCGGUCUUUGUGGUGCACUUCUUGCUGCCAUCUGUGUAAGAAAUUGUAACUAAUUAUCAUACACUGGGUUGGUUCGGAUUCGUUGGCGGCAGUUGGUGGCAGUUGGGGUCGUUGGGGUUCAGGUGGGAUUUUAGUUUAGAAGAAGGUGAAGUAUUUCUGAUUAUUUCCAAAGUUUAAAAUAUGAAUCAAGUAUAUUAAAUGAAAUUGACGAGUGGUGUUUAACGGUUUGUUGUAAUUUUAAUUUUAAACUAGUCAGCAACUGUGCUGUUAGGUAUACUGUCGUUUACGGAUCACCUUAGUAGUCAUGGAACAAACACCCAUAUUCUUAUUACACUGCUGAAACUGUAUAACAGGUACGUGGGAACACUUUUGAUUUCUUAGGAUUUGAGGUUCUUACAGUUCUAUUUUAUGGGAUUUAAUGCUGUGCAGUCUGUUGAAAGUUAACCAGCGCUUUGGAGGAGAAAGCAGUCUUCUGGGAUUUGUCACCGUGUA